rnacentral:rRNA from 1 species
CCUACGGGGGGCUGCAGUCGCGAAAACUUUGCAAUAAGCGCAAGCUUAACAGGGCUAUCCCGAGUGCCAUCCGCUGAGGAAGGCUUUUACCCAGUCUAGAACGCUGGGGGAAUAAGGAGAGGGCAAGUCUGGUGUCAGCCGCCGCGGUAAUACCAGCUCUCCGAGUGGUGUGGAUGUUUAUUGGGCCUAAAGCAUCCGUAGCUGGCUAAGUUAGUCCCCUGUUAAAUCCACCGAAUUAAUCGUUGGAUUGCGGGGGAUACUGCUUGGCUAGGGGACGAGAGAGGCAGACGGUAUUUUCGGGGUAGGGGUGAAAUCCUAUAAUCCCGGGAAGACCACCAGUGGCGAAGGCUGUCUGCUAGAACGCGCCCGACGGUGAGGGAUGAAAGCUGGGGGAGCGAACCGGAUUAGAUACCCGGGUAGUC